rnacentral:rRNA from 1 species
GACAGAGGUGCCGAGCGUUAGGCGGAAUCACUGGGCUUAAAGCGUGUGUAGGCGGAUACCUAAGUACUUUGUGAAAUCCCACGGCUUAACCGUGGAACUGCUUGGUAUACUGGGUAUCUUGAGCCAACUAGAGGCAGUCGGAACAAACGGUGGAGCGGUGAAAUGCGUAGAUAUCGUUUGGAACGCCAAUGGUGAAAACAGACUGCUGGGGUUGUGCUGACGCUGAGACACGAAAGCCAGGGGAGCGAACGGG